rnacentral:rRNA from 1 species
GAUGAACGCUGGCGGUCUGCUUAACACAUGCAAGUCGAACGGGCUUUUCGGAGCUAGUGGCGGACGGGUGAGUAACGCGUGAGAAUCUGCCUCCAGGUCUGGGACAACAGAAGGAAACUUCUGCUAAUCCCGGAUGUGCCUAUGGGUAAAAGAUUAAUUGCCUGGAGAUGAGCUCGCGUCUGAUUAGCUAGUUGGUGUGGUAAAAGCAUACCAAGGCAACGAUCAGUAGCUGGUCUGAGAGGAUGAGCAGCCACACUGGGACUGAGACACGGCCCAGACUCCUACGGGAGGCAGCAGUGGGGAAUUUUCCGCAAUGGGCGAAAGCCUGACGGAGCAAGACCGCGUGGGGGAGGAAGGCUCUAGGGUUGUAAACCCCUUUUCUUUAGGAAGAAGUUCUGACGGUACUAAAGGAAUCAGCCUCGGCUAACUCCGUGCCAGCCGCCGCAGUAACAC